rnacentral:rRNA from 1 species
UACGUAGGGUGCGAGCGUUGUCCGGAAUUACUGGGCGUAAAGAGCUCGUAGGUGGUUUGUCGCGUUGUUCGUGAAAACUCACAGCUUAACUGUGGGCGUGCGGGCGAUACGGGCAGACUGGAGUACUGCAGGGGAGACUGGAAUUCCUGGUGUAGCGGUGGAAUGCGCAGAUAUCAGGAGGAACACCGGUGGCGAAGGCGGUUCUCUGGGCAUGACCUGACGCUGAGGAGCGAAAGUGUGGGGAGCGAACAGG